GACGAACGCUGGCGGCGUGCUUAACACAUGCAAGUCGAACGGAAAGGCCCUGCUUUUGUGGGGUGUUCGAGUGGCGAACGGGUGAGUAACACGUGAGUAACCUGCCCUUGACUUUGGGAUAACUUCAGGAAACUGGGGCUAAUACCGGAUAGGAGCUCCUGCUGCAUGGUGGGGGUUGGAAAGUUUCGGCGGUUGGGGAUGGACUCGCGGCUUAUCAGCUUGUUGGUGGGGUAGUGGCUUACCAAGGCUUUGACGGGUAGCCGGCCUGAGAGGGUGACCGGCCACAUUGGGACUGAGAUACGGCCCAGACUCCUACGGGAGGCAGCAGUGGGGAAUAUUGCACAAUGGGCGGAAGCCUGAUGCAGCAACGCCGCGUGCGGGAUGACGGCCUUCGGGUUGUAAACCGCUUUCGCCUGCGACGAAGCGUGAGUGACGGUAAUGGGUAAAGAAGCACCGGCUAACUACGUG
rnacentral:rRNA from 1 species